rnacentral:lncRNA from 1 species
CAUCACCAAACUGGCCAUCUUAGUGGAGAUCCACCAGUGUCUUUCUGAGAUCUCUGACCUGGGGUUUCCUGAAGUGCAUCAACAAGAGAACCAUGGUUACUAUGACAACGUCACCAUCAUCGAGUCCAGCAAAGAUCCAUGUGUUUUGGUGAACAUCGCUUUAGAUCCAGCUGAGUGCUUCUGAUUUGACCAGGAAGCAUCAGUCCUGAAGAGUUAAAAAUUUCCACCCAGACUUCCUGAGCCCUAGCAUGAAGCAAGCAACAUUUUAAAACAAUACAUACUGAUAUCUCUCCAAGUUUGCAUUGGUUUCCUCCCGGUGCUCUGGUUUCCGCCCACAGUCAAUAUCCUCCAAUGUGUUUCACAUGAACUGCUGACCACAAGUUGCCUGGAGUGUGAGUGA